CAACUUUCAACAACGGAUCUCCUGGCUCUCGCAUCGAUGAAGAACGCAGCGAAAUGCGAUAAGUAAUGUGAAUUGCAGAUUUUCAGUGAAUCAUCGAAUCUUUGAACGCACCUUGCGCUCCUUGGUAUUCCGAGGAGCAUGCCUGUUUGAGUGUCAUUA
rnacentral:rRNA from 1 species